AUUGAACGCUGGCGGCAGGCCUAAUACAUGCAAGUCGAACGGUAACAUAAAAGAAGCUUGCUUCUUUUGAUGACGAGUGGCGGACGGGUGAGUAAUAUUUGGGAAACUACCUGAUAGAGGGGGACAACAGUUGGAAACGACUGCUAAUACCGCAUAAAGCCUGAGGGUGAAAGCAGCAAUGCGCUAUCAGAUGUGCCCAAACGGGAUUAGCUAGUAGGUGAGGUAAAGGCUCACCUAGGCGACGAUCUCUAGCUGGUCUGAGAGGAUGAUCAGCCACAUUGGGACUGAGACACGGCCCAGACUCCUACGGGAGGCAGCAGUAGGGAAUAUUGCACAAUGGAGGAAACUCUGAUGCAGCCAUGCCGCGUGUGUGAAGAAGGCCUUCGGGUUGUAAAGCACUUUCGGAGGGGAGGAAAAGAUGACGUUACCCUCAGAAGAAGCACCGGCUAACUCCGUG
rnacentral:rRNA from 1 species